rnacentral:rRNA from 1 species
UACGUAGGGGGCAAGCGUUGUCCGGAUUUAUUGGGCGUAAAGAGCGUGUAGGCGGCCAGGUAGGUCAGCUGUGAAAACUCGAGGCUCAACCUCGAGACGUCGGUUGAAACCACCUGGCUAGAGUCCGGAAGAGGAGAGUGGAAUUCCUGGUGUAGCGGUGAAAUGCGUAGAUAUCUGGAGGAACACCGGUGGCGAAGGCGGCAUCCUGGACCGACACUGACGCUGAGGAGCGAAAGCCAGGGGAGCAAACGGG